UUUGUUCAGCUACCGUAUCAUCGUGACAGUCGAGCGGACAGAAGGGACUUGCUCCCGGAUGUUACGGCGGACGGGUGAGUAACACGUGGGUAACCUGCCUGUAAGACUGUGAUAACUCCGGGAAACCGGAGCUAUUACCGGAUAGUUCCUUGAACCGCAUGGUUCAAGGAUGAAAGACGGUUUCUGCUGUGACUUACAUAUGGACCCGCGGCGCAUUAUCUAUUUGGGGGGGUAAUGGCUCACCAAGGCGACGAUGCGUAGCCGACCUGUGAGGGGGAUCGGCCACACUGUGACUGAGACACGCCCCCCACUCCUACGGGAGGCAGCAGUAGGGAAUCUUUCGCAAUGGACAAAAGUCUGACGCAGCAACGCCGCGUGAGUGAUGAAGAGUUUUCGGAUCGUAAAGCUCUGUGGUUAGGGAAAGAACAAGAG
rnacentral:rRNA from 1 species